UUUGUUUUUUUGUACUGUAUCAGCACCUAGUUCAUUACUCUUGAUAGAGAGGGAGGAUCCGCCUUCUUAAAUUUCUUUUUCUAUUUAUUUUUCCAUCUAGGAUUAGAACCGUAUACUUGAUAAUAAUAGCAACGGCACAUUAUGGCAAAAAAGAGUUUGAUUCAGAGGGAGAAGAAGCGGCAGAAAUUAGAACAGAAAUAUCAUUUGAUUCGUCAAUCUUUAAAAAAAAAGAUAAGAAGCAAAGUUUCUCCCUUGAGUUUGAGUGAAAAAACGAAAAUGCGAGAAAAAUUGCAAUCCCUACCGCGUAAUAGUGCACCUACACGCCUUCAUCGACGUUGUUUUUUGACCGGAAGACCUAGAGCUAACUAUCGACAUUUUGGGCUAUCCGGACACGUACUUCGAGAAAUGGUUUAUGAAUGUUUAUUACCGGGUGCAACAAGAUCCAGUUGGUAAGGAUAAAAUACCCUUUCGUAUUUGUAUGGAUUUCUGGAAUUGAUAAUCAUAGAGGAGCCCUCUUUACCAUUCUGUAUAAAUGGACUAUUCUAUUUGUAUAGAUAUGGUAGAGGGACGUAUCGAACCCUCUUUUAUCCACUAGUUACCCCUCUUUAGUUUAAGAGUAUAGAGCAGUUUGGUAGCUCAUAAGUCUCAUAACCUUGGGGUUGCGGGUUCGAUUCCCACUACCGGCCCCAUACUCCUUCUUUAAUGAUAUAUGCAUGAUAUAUACAUCAUCCAUUUGUAUCUGGAUUUUUUGAUUUCCUAAAAGAGUUUUGGUCUAACAGUUUUUUCUCGGAAGAAGACAACAAAUAAAAGAAAGAAUAAAAGAAAGAAUAAAAUACGAAAGAAAAGCGUCCAUUGUCUAAUGGAUAGGACAGAGGUCUUCUAAACCUUUGGUAUAGGUUCAAAUCCUAUUGGACGCAAUCUUAUUUCUAUCUAUUCUUUAAAUAACUAUACUAAACUAAAAACAAAGAAAACUUUUUUGCAUGAUUCAAAUAACAAGAGUAGACAUGCAAAAUAACAAGAGUAGAUAUGCCAAAUUUAUUUGUUACUGAAGGGAAAACCGUUCCAGCUGUUCCUGAAUAGCUUCCUUCAAAAGGAUUUCCGCUUGCUCGGUGAAUGUCUUGCUAGAAGAUAUAAUUUCUUGGAAUUGAGGUUUAGUAUCUUUUAGGUGUUUACGUAACUCAUCCAGAAAUUUAUUUACCUGUUCGAUUUCUAACGAAUCAAGAUAUCCUCUUGUUCCGGUAUAAAUAGUAGCUAUCUGCUCUUCCACUGGGAGAGGAUUUGCCUGGGAUUGUUUAAGCAAUUCCCUUAAUCGUCGACCCCUUGCCAAUUGAUUCUGACUUGUUUUAUCGAGAGCAGAGGCGAAUUGUGCAAAGGCUUGUAACUCUGCGAAUUGAGCUAGUUCCAAUUUUGAUUUGCCAGCUACUUGUUUCAUGGCUUUAAUUUGAGCCGCGGAUCCUACUCUGGAAACAGAAAUACCCACAUUAAUAGCGGGUCGAAUUCCGGCAUUGAAUAGAUCCGCCGAUAAGAAUAUUUGUCCAUCUGUAAUGGAGAUUACAUUAGUAGGAAUAUAGGCGGAAACGUCUCCAGAUUGAGUCUCAACUAUUGGUAAAGCGGUCAUACUUCCUUCGCCUAAAAGAGAAUUUAAUUUAGCGGCUCUUUCUAAAAGGCGUGAAUGCAAAUAAAAAACAUCCCCUGGAUAAGCCUCACGGCCGGGAGGUCUUCUUAAUAGAAGGGACAUUUGGCGAUAAGCUUGUGCCUGUUUGGAGAGAUCAUCAUAAAUUAUUAAAGUAUGCCGUUCGCGGUACAUAAAAUACUCAGCCAGGGCUGCUCCCGUAUAAGGAGCGAGGUAUUGUAAUGUAGCAGGUGAAUCCGCCAUUUCAGCUACUACAAUAGUGUAUUCCAUGGCCCCCUCCUCAUGGAAAGUAGUUACUACUUGAGCUACGGAGGAUGCUCUUUGACCGAUAGCUACAUAAACACAUAUUACACCUUGCCCUUUUUGAUUGAGAAUUGUAUCUGUAGCUACUGCUGUUUUGCCAGUCUGUCUGUCCCCAAUAAUUAACUCUCGCUGACCGCGCCCUAUAGGAAUCAUCGAAUCGAUAGCAAUAAGCCCUGUUUGAAGAGGUUCGUAUACGGAACGCCUGGAAAUUAUACUUGGAGCAGGAGAUUCAAUUAAGCGAGAUUCGGAAGCUAUAAUUUCGCCUUUCCCAUCAAUAGGUUUAGCCAGAGCAUUUACAACACGACCCAAGUAAGCCUCACUCACGGGUAUCUGAGCAAUUCUUCCUGUUGCUUUUACAAAACUGCCCUCUUGUAUCAUCAACCCAUCGCCCAUUAAUACAAUCCCAACAUUUUUGGAUUCCAAAUUCAGAGCAAUACCCCUAGUACCUUCUGCAAAUUGGACUAAUUCACCCGACAUUAUUUCACCAAGACCUAUAAUACGAGCAAUCCCAUCCCCCACUUGAACUACGCGACCUAUAUUCUCAAUCCCUACUUUCCUAUUAUAUUGUUCAAUACGUUCGCGGAGAAUUUUAUGAAUUUCGUCGACUCGAAGGGUUGCCAUUAGUGUUUCUUGACUCUUUUUUCGAAAGCAAGGGGAAAAAUAAUGCCUAAAUUCUAAACGAAAGUAGAAGUUCAAGGCCUAAUUAAUUUAAUUAUCUCUUCCAUUCCAGGGACCCGAGAAUGCCAAUAUUAGCACGAAUCGUACGGAAAUGUAACUCGGUAUUCAAACAACUAUUCAGAGUUCCUAGAGCUCCUUGUACGGCCUGUUGGAAAACCCGCUGUCGGACCUGAUUCAUUGCCCUUUGUUUUUCAAAAUAAAGGGUUUCGUUUUUAGACUUUUCUAAUUGUUCCAAACUAAUAGAAGUAGCAUUAAUCAAAUUUGCUUUUUCUCGUUCUAUCUCAGAGUAUCCAUUCAUUCGAUACUCAUCCGCUUCUAGUUCGACUUUCUGUAAUCGAAUCCGAGCUUUUUCGAGUUGCUCAAUGGUCCCUCUACGCAAUUCUUCUGAAUUUCGAAUAGUACUCAAGAUCCUCUGUUUUCGAUUAUCUAAUAAAUCUUUUAAUGAAAGUAGAUUAUUUUGUAAGUUUACAACUUUUAUGAUCUCUUCCCGAACCAAACAUGAAUCUUUCGAUUCAUUUGGCUCUCACGCUCCUUUUUUUCUUUUUUUGCUAUAGCAAUUUCCAUAUCUUUUUUUAAGUAUAAGUAAUGAGCCUAUCCUCUAUCUUAUUUUUUAUGUUUAUAUUUCAAUAUACCGAAACCUAUAUAAGACUAGAUAAAUAUUAAGAGGACUCUUCCGCCUAGAUAAAAAUAUAUCAUGGUCAGCAAAGUUGUUUCUUUAUUUAUAUUUGCCCUUUAGUUAAUAAUUUCAAUUUCAUUAAGAAAAACUAACUAAAUAAAUGGAAAAUGAAAAUUAAUAGAAUUCUUUUUUUUUUUUCUUCAAAUCCAAAAAAUUUCUCUUUUUUAUACAUAGGUCGUCGAUUCGGCAUUGGUUAAAAAAGGGCAGGGUGCCCCUUCUUUUUUUUUCUAGUAAAUAGUUCAAACCAUUUUAUCGAUAUGAGUGUUCUAUAUCAGAUAAAUUUUACAUUAGCUAUUUCCCGUUUAAAUUCGGUACUAAUACUAAUAUAGUUGUAGAAAGAGUACCUCUUUUUGCCUGGACUUCAAGCAGUUUAGCUUUAACCGUGUUAAUGGUCUCACAUUCUUGGUUUAUAGAGAAUCAAAAUUGAUUUACCAAUGAGUCGCGAAAUGCUAUGGUUCUUCCAUAUGAUUUCUGAAUUUAUUCAGAAGUAAUUCGUCGAGAUCGUGCACCCUUUUCUUAUUUAUCCGAAAAAUACUAAAAAAUAUUCUAAAGUGCAGCCGGAUAGAUCCAAUCUAUUCUUGAAAUAGACAACUCGCACACACUCCCUUUCCAAAAAAAAUCAAAACACCAACCACUACAGUUAGAUUUAUUAGAUUUGUUGCUAAAAUAUCGGUAUUAAGCCCGAAACUGCCAGCGGAUGGCCAGUGAGCUAAAAAAACGAAAGAAUGGGUUACAUUUUUCAUAUGCUCUCCUCUUAUAGAUAGGACGAACAAAGAACAAAGUUUUUCGAUCACUUACUUCGCUCGCCCUUUUUUGAUCGGUUUUUUUAAUGCAAAUAGAUUCAAUCUAGUAAUUUCUUUUAGAUUAAGUCUUAGGUCUUGUUUGACCGGUGAAAGGCUUCCUUUGUUGAAAUGUUCCGUUCCCAAAAUUCCUAAAAUAAAAGGAAAAAACUUUCCACUUUCCUAAACUAAGGACGGGAAAUAAGAAGGCGAGCAUAUCUUCUAAAUUAAUCAUACUCAACUCAGCCCUUCCUAGAAUGCGGUAUUAUCUGUCCCGAUAAAUAGAUAAUUCCAGGAGUAAUAAAUAGGAGUAAAUUAAAUAAAGUAUUGAUAUAAUUGGAAUUGCGGAAGCAAAUACCAAUUUACUAAAAAAAGAAAAAAGUAUCUAAUCGAAAUCGAAAGAACUUUUUUUUUUAGGAUUAAACAAAAGGGUUCGCAAAUAAAAGCGCUAGUGCCACAACUAGUCCAUAAAUUGUUAAAGCUUCCAUAAAAGCUAGACUAAGCAAUAAAGUACCUCGUAUUUUACCUUCUGCUUCUGGCUGUCUCGCAAUACCUUCUACAGCUUGUCCUGCAGCAGUACCUUGACCAACUCCAGGUCCAAUAGAAGCAAGCCCUACGGCCAAUCCAGCAGCAAUAACAGAAGCAGCAGCAAUUAGUGGAUUCAUGGUGAGUAGUUCCUCGUGUCAAAAAAAAAGAAAUGGUUAAGGAUACAAUCAACCAAAAAAUUCUUACUUCUAAGCUCUAUUGGGGAGAAGUAAAGUAACUAAAAAGUACAAAUUGAAAUCAAAUUGAAAUGUGAAUUGUCCGAACUACAUAGAAGGGAAUUCUAUAUCCAUAUAUCGGAUUAGAUAAUGAAUCUAACCUAGGAAUAUAUAAUAUAAUAUCAAUAUCCUAUAUACAUUUGUUUCUUCUAUUUUGUUUGCAUAUUUUCUCAUUUUCUAUUGAAUCGGAUUCUAAAAUCAUUGCUUAAAGUGGAAACCCGCAUAAAAGAGGACUCCACUUAUAGAUAUUAAGGAUAUUUAUUAUAGUAUAGAUCUAGCCUGACUCCACCCUCCUUAAUGCAUAUAUACUUUGAAAAUUCCAUAAUAUAGUCUAUUCUAUUCUCUCUCCUACAACUCUAGGCUAUAUAUUCAUACGCAUUUCUAACUAUUGCAACCAAGCAGAUUAUCUGGAACCAUGCAUGAAUUGAGCUAAGCUGAAAAAAAAAAUACUAUAUUCCAAAACUAGUCAAUUCAAUGAUGACCCUCCAUGGAUUCACCUAUAUAGGCUGCGGCUAAUGUUGCAAAAAUAAGAGCUUGAAUACCGCUUGUAAAUAAUCCAAGAAACAUGACCGGUAUAGGGAUUACUAAGGGGACUAAAGAAACAAGAACAACAACGACUAAUUCAUCCGCCAAUAUAUUCCCGAAAAGUCGAAAGCUAAGCGAUAAUGGUUUUGUGAAAUCUUCUAGGAUGUUAAUUGGUAAAAGGAUUGGGGUUGGUUUAAUAUAUUUCUCGAAAUAGCUCAAUCCUUUUUUGCUAAGACCAGCAUAAAAAUAUGCCGCUGACGUGAGUAAAGCUAAAGCAACAGUAGUAUUUAUAUCAUUCGUGGGCGCUGCUAAUUCCCCAUGGGGUAACUCUAUAAUUUUCCAAGGUAAAAGAGCACCCGACCAAUUUGAAACAAAAAUAAAAAGGAACAUAGUUCCAAUAAAGGGAACCCAGGGACCAUAUUCUUCUCCAAUCUGAGUUUUGCUCAAGUCUCGAAUAAACUCAAGGACAUAUUCAAAAAAAUUCUGCCCGUCGGUCGGGAUGGUUUGUGGAUUCCGAACAGCUAUGACAACUGAACCUAGCAAGAUAGUAAUUACGACCCAAGAAGUGAUGAGUACCUGGGCAUGAAUUUGAAAACCUCCUAUUUGCCAAUAGAAGUGUUGGCCUACUUCUACACCCGAUAUAUCGUAUAACCCCUUGAGUGUUUUAAUGGAACAAGGUAUAAUAUUCAUAUUGUCCUCUGAUAAAAAUUGAACUUCAAAAAAGGAAUUCUUUUGAUUCAACCAUCUCUUUCUCAACUCAGCAACUUGAACUAUUAAUUUGAUAUUUAGGAUACCAAGAAAGCACAUCAGAUCAUAAUAUAUAUCAAUACCCUCUAAUAUAUAUCAAUAUUCCCCUUCUUUUUUCUAUGCAAAACAAAUUCUAUGCAAAAAAAGAUAUAGUAAGUCAUUCCAUAAAUCUACGCAGUUGUCCAAGAAUUCACUAUAUAUUCUUAAUCAACGAUUUCUUAUAUAGAGAGAACGGCCCUCACAAAUUGAAAAUACUAAUUUGUUAAGAAUCAAUCGAAUUGAAGUCAUAGUGUCAUCGUUGGCUGGAAUCGAUAUAUUCGCGAGAUCCGGGUCACAAUUUGUAUCGACUAAAGAAAUAGUAGGAAUUCCCAAAAUGGCACAUUCCCGAAGAGCUAUAUACUCUUUUUGCUGAUCAAGGACGAUCACAAUGUCUGGCAAUCUCGUCAUAUAUUUGAUCCCGCCGAGAUACCUUUGUAAGGUAGAUAAUUUUCUCUUCAAGAUUGCCACAUCUCUUUUUGGGAGAUGGUGGAAUUUUCCCAUUUUUUCUUCCGCUCUUAAGUCUCUAAAUUGAGAAAGUCUAGUUUUCGUAAUCGACCAAUUCGUUAACAUACCACUGAACCACUUUUUAUUAACAUAAUGACAACGAGCCCUUAUUGCAGCUGAUGCUACUAAAUCUGUUGCUCUUUUUUUGGUACCAACAAUUAAGAAACUUUUUCCCUGACUUGCUGCAUCAAAAACUAAAUCACAAGCUUCUGAUAAAAAACGGGCCGUUCUAGCGAGAUUUAUAAUAUGAGUACCUUUACGCUUUGCCGAAAUGUAAGGGGCCAUUUUAGGAUUCCAUUUCUUAAUACCAUGACCAAAAUGAACUCCUGCUUCUAUCAUCUCUUUCAAAUUAAUGUUCCAAUAUCUUCUUGUCAUUUUUUCCACACUUCCUUUUUUUUUCAUCCUAACAUUCCAUUACGGAAUUUAUUUCUUUUUGAAGAUUAAGAAAGAUCCGAAAUAGCUUGAAAUAAAUAAAAUAAUAAUUGUUCUGAGAGAACCUUGUACUAAGAGUUGGCCAUUGAUACAUUGAUACAUGGUAUAAACAAAACCUUAAUUUAAUGAAUUAACUGACUUGUUUUACUUAUUAAAAUAAAAAUCUUAAAAAUCUAAAAUUUAACCUGUUAGUGUUCUAAGUUCAAAAGUCUAGUAAAGUAAAAAAUAUGUUUUAUGUAUCCUUAGGGUUAAAUGUUAAAUGGGGGUUUUUAUGUCUCAUAAAAAUUGUUUGUUACGUCAGAAUCUGAAGAAACUAAUUCUGUAUGGAGAAACAAAAAAUCUCUCAUUUCCGACGCGAAUAGAUUUUUUUUUUUUAUUUCGAAAUAAAGGUUCUUGUCUUGUGGGGAACGAUGCACAAAUUUUUGGAAUCCGGUACCAACAGGUAUAAUCCCCCCCAGAACUACGUUUUCUUUCAAGCCUUUCAACCAAUCAAUGCGACCUCGUAGGGCAGCUUUUGCUAAAACUCGAGCAGUUUCUUGAAAACUUGCUUCAGAUAUGAAACUUUGGGUAUUCAGGGAAGCCCUUGUUAUUCCCAAUAAGAUUGCCCGAUAAUAGAUCGAUUCAUCCAAAGCUCGCCCUGCUCGUUCCGCUCGCAAUAGUCCGAUUAAUUCCCCAGGCGAAAAAACAUUAGACAUUCCAUCUUCGGAAACCCGCACUUUUGAUGUUACUUGGCGUAUAAUAAUCUCUAUAUGUCUAUUAUGGAUCUGUACCCCUUGGGAUCGAUAAACCUUUUGGAUUUUAUUAACCAAAGAAAUACGACUUUGGGCUAUGGUUAGCUCAGCUCCAAUCAAGAAUCCCCAAGGGACCCCAAGAAUUCUUGGUAUACGCUCAUUCCAAUCCUCAAUUCUCCUUUCGAGAUUGGGGGAUAAUGAAUCAAUUGAACGCGCUUCAAAGAUUUGUUCCACUUUUGGAAGACCUUGCGUUAUGUCACUAGAUCUCGAUUUUUCAUAUAUAAACGUAACUAACCUAUCUCCCUUGUAAAGGAUUUCUCCAUAAUGACCAUUAACAGUUGCUCCUGUAGUGGCCAAAUAAGGUUUAGCUGCUCUUAUAACAAAGGAAUCCAUAUUUACACUGAAAAUUUGACCAGAUUUUUUUAUGUGCGAUUUAAAUAGACAUACAUUUUCACAAAUAAAUUGUCCAAGGUGAAUUAUUGCCAAUGUCUCUUCCCAAGAAUCAUGAUGGACAAAGUGACAAUUCAAAAGGAAUGGAUCCAACAUUAUGUUACUAUCGAAAUUGGAAAUCCUUUUAUUUUCAUCUAUUAAAGAGUAUUUAAGUUCUUGAAGUACUUGGAAGGUUUGUUUCAAAUUGUCAACGAACAAAUAUUUUUUUAGCAGGAUUUUAUUAUGCGUUAGUAAAUAGUAAGAUGAAGAAAAAUGCGAUAUACUAGCUACAAUAGCCCCUAAGGGCCCAAAAAUUUCUAGAAUAGGAAUUCUAGGAUUCCAUUCUUUUAUCGCAUUGGGAUGUUUUGAAUUCUUGAAUAAACCAAUUCGAGAACAGUUGGAUGCCGACAAAAUCAUCAAAGAUUGGUAUUCUUUAUUUCGAUUCAACAAAGUGCCAAUAGCUUCUUGAUGUUGGCUAAGUGAUUCAAUCUUCGCCUUGGAAUAAAAAGAAUUGCUAUUGGCGCGAUCUAACCUAUUAUGGGGAGUCGGUCCUCCACUUGUCCUAUCAUACCUUUUUCGUGUAUACGAAAUAGUGGACUUGACUAACUCAAUUCUUAGGAAAUCGCGAAUAAGAUCAUUUGCUCUUACCUCAACAAGGGAAGCACCAGCCUUUUCUUUUUCUUCUUGUUCCCAAUUCACUACUAAGCAAGUUCUAACAAAUUGACUAUUUGUGUGAUAAAUUCUUUGAGUUAACUUGCUAUUUUCAUGAUAAAUAAAAUUGACAAGUCGAAUUUGGAGAUUAUUUUCUUCUUGCAAGAGAUCCUGCGGGAAAAGUGUUGCUAAAUUUCUUCCUUCGUCCAUUUCAUAUGCCACUGUAGGGCGAACGGAAACAAAAUACUUUUCCUUGCUCUUGAGAAUUUUUUUCCGUUGAACAUAGACCCAAUUUUUCUUUUUUUUUGAUUCCUUAGAAUCUUUUUUUUGUCUUUCUGGCGGUAUCAAACACCCACCUAAUAUCUUAUCUGCCUCUUCAGGAAAAUGAAUAUCUCCGGAAAAUAUUUUGAGUUCCGUAUGGCUUUUUUUUCUCUUCACUCGGACCAGUCCGCCUAGUCCACUUCUUGUAUUUUUUGUGAGUUGUGUAUCCACUCCAAUAAUACUAUUGUCAAGUAUCUUUAGGGAUGAAGAUCUCGGCAAGAUAUGAAGUUCUUGAAGAAUGAAAAAAAACCGAUCUACUUCUUUUUGGUAUUUUAGACUAAAUUCUUUUGUUCCUCGAUGCUCAAUCAAACCCUCUUUUUUUAAGAUGGAAUCUUCCUCUGGGCUCUCGUAUUCGUCCUCUGAGUCUUCUUCUGAGUCUUCCUCUAAAGUACCAUAUUUUUCCUCGCCGCUUUCCCCGGGGCUGCCAUAUUCGUCUUCUGAGUCUUCUUCUAAAGUUCCAUAUUCGUCCUCUUGGGUCCUAUAUUUGCUCUCUGGGUUCCCAUAUUCCUCUUCUGAGUCUUUCUCUAAAGUCCUAUAUUCGUUCUCUGGGUUCCCAUAUUUGUUUUCUGGGCUCCCAUAUUCGUUUUCUAGGGUUUCAUAUUCGUAUUCGUCUUCUAGGAUUCCAUAUUUAGAUUCUUCUAGGGUUUCAUAUUCGUCCUCUCGGGUCCUGUAUUCGUGUUCUAGGGUCUCAUAUUCCUCUUCUGAGUCUUCCGCUCGAGUCCUAUAUUCUUCUUCUAGGGUCCUAUAUCUAAAUUUAACAAUUCCUGAACCCUUUUUAUCUUUUCUGUAUCGGGGAUCGUCAAAAUAAGCAAAAAUAGUAUUUCUACGUAAAACACCCAUAAAGGGGAUUUCAAUCGAAAUCCCAAAACAGGAUAUUAGUUCUUUCUCUUGUUCUUGAUGAUAUUGUAAUGGAAUGACGAACCUAUUUCUUCGCUUUUUCGCCAACAAAUCUGAAUUAUCUUGAAAAAUAGAAGGAUAGAUCAAAUUCCAAUGGCCAUUGGACAUGAUUCGAUCCGACGUUGAAUAAUCAAGAAUUUCCCUAUCUUUUUUACCAUAAGUAUUCAUUUGAUCUUGAUCCUUGUGGAGUGAAAAAGACGCUAUACUGGAUCUGCACAUACUUACGGAUAAUAUCCAUAAAUGGCUUGUUUUUGGUAAUCGACGAAGAUUACCAUAUUGAUAUUCGGGCGCAUGGUAAACAUCAGUACUCCAGUGCAUUUCGCCGUCUGAUUCAGAAUAAAUAUGCUUUUGUACCCUUUCUUUAAAAUGUAAAGUGGACGUUCCGGCACGAAUCUCCGCAAUUACUUGUUCAGAUUUUACAUAUUGAUCAUUUUGCACUAGAAUCAAGCUUUUUGAGGGAAUAUUCACACUAUAUAGAAUAUCUUGACUCUGAAUAGUUACAUGCAAGUCUAUAUAACAUAGAAAAGCAGGCUGUCCAUGACGGGUACGUGUGGGGUGAACCAAAUUCUCAUUGAAUUGGAUUUUUCCAUUCGAAGGGGAUCGUACAAGGUCGGCAGUACCCCCUGUGAAUACUCCGCCAGUAUGAAAAGUUCUUAAUGUUAGUUGAGUCCCUGGCUCCCCAAUUGAUUGACCCGCAAUAAUACCUACGGCUUCUCCCAAUUCCACCAGAUCACUAUGAGUAGGACUCCGGCCAUAGCAUAAUUGACAGAUCCAAGAAGUGCUUCGGCAAGUAAAGGGGGUUCUAAUAUAUAUUGGUUGUGCUCGAAAUGGUUGUGCUCGAAAGGCAGUUAUGAAUCGAUUGACUAAUCCAAUUCCAAUAUCUUGAUUUCGCGCGGCAAUGCAUCGUGAACCGAUAUAUAUAUCGUCUGCUAAUACACGACCAAUUAGUGUUUGGACAAAAAGUUUUUCCGUCAUCCCAUUUUGAGGACUUACAGAAAUACCUCGGAUAGUACCACAAUCUCUUCUACGCACAAUAAUAUGUUGAACUACUUCAACAAGUCUACGUGUAAGAUAUCCAGCAUCUGCUGUUCGUACAGCAGUAUCUACAACCCCUUUGCGGGCUCCAUAGCAGGAAAUUAUAUAUUCUGUCAAAGAAAGUCCCUCGCGUAAAUUGCUUUGAAUAGGUAAAUCAAUCAUUUGUCCUUGAGGGUCCGACAUUAAUCCUCUCAUACCUACUAAUUGGUGUACUUGAGAUGCAUUUCCUCUGGCUCCUGAAAAAGACAUUAGAUAGACUGGAUUAGAAGGAUCCGUUAUCCGAAAAUUUGAAUUCAUUUCUUGUUUCAAAUAUUCACUUGUCGCAUACCAUAUCUCAACAGAUUGGCGUAAUUUUUCUACCGCGUGUACAGCCCCAUAAUAAUAGUGUUUCUCCAAAAGAAAACUCUGUUGUUCCGCGUCUUGGACUAACCAUCCCUUAGAGGGUAUUGUUAAAAGAUCCUCGAUUCCUAACGAAAUCGAUGUAGUAGUGGCUUGAUAGAAGCCCAGAGUCUUUAGUUGAUCCAGUAUAUGGGAUGUAUAUCCCAUUCCAAAAUGAUCUAUUAAUCUGCUAAUAAGUCGUUUCAUACCAGUUCCGUCUAUCUCUUUAUUAUGAAAGACCAGAUUGGCCCGUUCCGCCAUACAUAAGUACCCCCUUUUCGGCUGAGUAGGAUUCGACAAUUGCUGAGUAGGAUUCGACAAUGGGCCUGAGUCAGUGAUUCGAAAAUUUAAUUAACUUAAUUGCCUCAAUCUCAAUCUGGAUUCGCGUGGCAAAUAAUGAUGAUACUAGGGAAAUCGGAAUGCCCCCCGAAAGCAAAGGGGAGGGGCAUCGCCGAAUCUAACUUUCUUGUUUAGGUAGUGUAUGAAUAGGCCUGACUAAAUCCUUGUACGGCUUCCUCUAUUUCUCUAUAAAAAGAAAUAUGACCAAGAGUGGUUCGAAUGUAUAUCGAACGAAUUUCUUUUUUUCUAUUUCCCAUUAUUAGAUAGUGAGCAUAAAUCUCAUGAUAAGUCCCCAAAGAUUCAUAUUGAAUUUCAAUCGGAACUUCUCUUGACCCAAUGACGCGUUGAUCCAGGUUCCAUCGUAGCCACAAGGGACUAUCUAAACUGAUUAGUUUUUGUCUAUAAGCUCCCAGUGCAUCAUAAGAACUAGAAAAAUGGGGUUCUUUAUCUUUCCUAUACUUAGAAUUAUUAUUAUUGUAAUUGACUUUUAAAUUUGGAUAGUUUCUGAAACUAUUAUAUCUAUUUGCACAAAUACCUCGACGCUUUCCAAUUGUUAAUACAUAAAGCCCGAUAAGCAUGUCUUGGGUUGGUACGCAAAUAGGAUCCCCAAUAGCAGGAGAUAAGAGAUUCAUAUGAGAAAACAUAAGUAAACGGGCUUCCGCCUGAGCUUCCAAGGAUAAAGGUAGAUGAACAGCCAUUUGAUCUCCAUCAAAGUCUGCAUUGAAACCCUUACACACUAAUGGGUGUAAAGAAAUAGUACGCCCCUCUACUAAAGUGGGUUGAAAGGCCUGUAUGCCUAAUCUAUGCAGAGUAGGUGCUCUAUUUAACAGUACAGGAUGUCCCCGCAUAACUUCUUGAAGUAUUUCCCAUACAAUGGGUUCCUUUUCCCAAAUUUUCCUUUUAGCAAUCCUGACAUUAGAAGUGGCGCGUUUCGUGAUUAAAUCGCGAAUUACAAAUAGCUGAAAAAGCUUUAUUGCUAUCUCUAGAGGUAAUCCACAUUGAUGUAAUGAAAGCGAAGGACCCACAACAAUGACAGAACGCCCCGAGUAAUCGACCCGUUUCCCAAGCAGAGUCUCGCGAAACCUUCCCUCUUUACCUUCAAUUACAUCUGAAAGUGAUUUGUAUACUUUAUUGUGACCAUCCCUCGUCGGUUGCCCGCGGGACCCACUAUCAAGAAGUGUAUCCACGGCUUCUUGUACCAAUUUUUCCUGGCACAUUACUAAAUCUGCUGGCGCUAAUUCACUUCUUUUUAAUAGAUAGGCAAGAUUGUUGUUCCGACGGAUAACUCUCUUAUAAAGUUCAUUAAUGUCUGAAGUCACUACUUUAUCUCCAGACCUAUAAACAAUAGGUCUCAAUUCGGGAGGAAGAACCGGUAAUAAGCACAAAACCAUCCAUUCUGGUUCUACAUUUGUUUGAAUAAAAUGUUUCGCCAAUUGCAUGCGUCUAAUCAAAAAAACUUUUCUUAUUCGUCUUUUUCUAUCUUCCCACUCAUCUCCACUAUACCCCUCGUCUUCUAAUUCCUUCCAUUCGACCAAAGAAUUCUCUAUAAUAAUUCGCAAAUCCAAAUCUGCUAAUUGUUCUCUAAUAGCACCUGCUCCUGUCGCAAUUUCCCGAUUUCGAAAUGUUGCAAAGCCUGGGGUAGAAAAAAAGGGAGAAAUGCUGUGGUUACAGGAUGCAAUUUCCUCUUCGAAUAAACCUCGUAAUCGUAAAAAAGUGGGUUUUUUAGUGCUGGGCCUAGCAAAAGAGAAAUCGCCGUAUACUAGGCCCUCCAACUUCUUAAGAGGUUUAUCUAAAAGAUUCGCGAUAUAACUAGGAAGACCUUUCAAAUACCACACAUGAGUCACGGGACAUGCGAGUUUGAUGUAUCCCAUUUGAUAUCUUCGUAUCCGAGAAUCCACAAAUUCUACCCCGCAUUUUUGGCAAAAUCUUUCGUCUUCGUUUUCAGCUCCGCUCGCUCGAGAAUUGCCACAACCGCAAAUCCCGCUUUUUAUGGGUCCAAAGAUUCUUUCGCAAAACAAUCCAUCUUUUUCUGGUUUAUCGGUUUUAUAAUGAAAAGUAGAGGGCCUUGUGACUUCGCCAACGGCUUCUCCAUUAGGUAGGUUUUUGUUAGCCCAAGCCUUUAUUUGUUGAGGGGAAACGAGUCCAAUUUGAAGUUGUUGAUGUUUAUAUUGGUCAAUCAUAAAAUAGAAAUAAGAAAAGAAUUUAUAUUUAUUCCGAUCAAACUUCCUCCCUAUUAACCUGGAAGUUCUUUUCAGAUACAAGGAAAUGAUUCAGUUCUAGAGCCAAAGAUCGUAGUUCUCGAACGAGCACUCGAAAAGAUUCUGGAGGAUCCUCAUGAUUAGGUAUUCUUUUUCCCCAGAUCGUAGCAUUAAGUAUUUCUUGGCGAGCUAUAAGAUGGUCAGAUUUAUAAGUAAGUAUCUCUUGUAAAAUAUGAGCAACACCAAAUCCUUCUAAAGCCCAAACUUCCAUUUCUCCUACUCGUUGUCCCCCUUGCUUGGCUCUUCCUCUAACCGGUUGUUGUGUAACAAGUGAGUAGGGCCCAGUAGAACGCCCAUGAAUUUUCUCAUCAACUUGAUGAAUUAAUUUUAAGAUAUAGGACUUCCCUAUUAGAACAGGUUGCUCAAAGGGGUCGCCUGUUCUUCCAUCAAAUAUUCUGCUUUUUCCCGGGUACUCGGGUUCAAAUACCCAUGGAUUUUUUGUUUCUUUACUGGCUUCAUAUAAUUCUGAAAACACAAGUUUUCUUGAAGCCUCUUGCUCAUAUCUCUCAUCAAAGGGUGCUAUUCUAUAAUGUUUCUUUAGCAGAUCCCCCGCUAAUCCGAGCGAGCUUUCAAAUAUUUGUCCCACAUUCAUUCGGGAGGGUACUCCUAAGGGAUUGAAGACCAUAUCAACGGGUGUUCCAUCUUGCAAAUAGGGCAUAUCUUGCCUAGGCAAAAUUUUGGAAAUGAUCCCUUUAUUCCCAUGUCUUCCGGCUACUUUAUCCCCAACUUUGAUUUCACGUUUCUGUAAAAUAUAUACACGAACCAUUAUGUCGAGGGGGUCCCUUUGGAUCCAUUUCACAUCGAUAACGCGCCCUCUUCCACCUAUAGGUAAUUUCAGAGAAGUUUCUUUUGAAGUGGAAACCUCAAGGCCGAAUAUGGCCCGUAAUAAUCCAGCUUCUGCGAUAUAUGAUGAUUCGCUCGCUAUCUGAGGCGUUAAUUUACCUACUAAAAUAUCACCAGUUUCUACCCAGGAUCCCAACCUAACAACUCCAUUUUUGUCCAAAUUGCGGAGUAAAUGUUCUUCUAGAUGUGGUAUUUCUUUAGUGAUUUUUUCAGCGGAGCCCUGGCUUGUCGUAUCCGUCUGAAUUUCAUAUUUCCGGAUGUGAAAAGAGGUAUAAAUAUCCUCAUAUACCAAACGUUCGCUAAUUAGUACUGCGUCUUCAAAAUUGUAACCUUCCCAUGGCAUAUAAGCUACUAAUACGUUUUUUCCUAAAGCAAGUUCCCCCCCAACUGUAGCAGCUCCUUCUGCUAAAAUUUGUCCUUUUUUAAUGGAUUUACCCCGUGGAACCCGAGGUUUUUGGUGCAUACAAGUAUUUUUGUUAGAGCGACGGUGGUUAACUAAAGGAAUACUUAUAGUCUUCCCACUACUUGAUAAAAGUAUCUUAUGACUAUCAGUAGAAAUGAUCUUUCCCUCGCGUUCGGCUAUAACGGAAACCCUCGAAUCUAGAGCUGUUUGGCGUUCCAAUCCAGUUCCAACAAUGCAUUUCUCGGACCGAGAAAGUGGAACUGCUUGGCGCUGCAUAUUAGAACUCAUUAAAGCCCGAUUCGCAUCAUUGUGCUCAAUAAAAGGAAUGAGAGAACCCCCAAUAGAAAAAUAUUGGAAAGGAAAAAUACUUCUAACAUGAAUCUGUUCCCAUGCAAUAGUCAAGAAUUCUUGGCGGUAUCUAGCUGGAACAACCUGUUCUUCCUGAAUACCUUGAUUCAAGGACAAAGAAUUUCCUGCUGCUAUCAUAUAAUACUCAUCUCUAUUUGGUGAUAGAUAAACCACCUGUCUCUCUUUUUUUUCUUUUGCUUUCUCAGCAGAUAUUUCAUAAAACGGACUCUCUAUAGAUCCCCACAAGUGAUCAAUUCUCGCAUGAAUUGCUAAGGAUCCAGUAAGUCCAACAUUGAUUCCUUCAGACGUGUCAAUUGGACAAAUACGCCCAUAGUGACUCGGAUGAAUAUCUCGGCUCCGAAAACUUGCGGUUCUCCCCGUCAACCCUCCAGGACCUAAACAACUCACUUUUCGCCCAUGAACAGUUUGUGUCAAUGGAUUCGUUUGAUCAAAAACUUGAGAUAAUGGGUAUGUGCCAAAAAAGGUCUCAUAAGUAGUUAUUAAUAAAAUUGAAGUUGAAGUUGGAGUUACCAAAGUUUGGGGAGUCGGUUUCGAUUGACGUAUGAAUACUCUACGAAUAGUUUUUUGAACUGCAUGUUGUAAACGACCAAGAGCCAAUCCGAAUUGAUCUUGUAACAGAUCCGCAACCGAACGAAUACGUUUAUUUUUCAAGUGAUUCAUAUCGUCAUCGUCAAGUAUACCCGUUCCAAAUUUCAUUCCAAUCAAAUGAUCCGUAGCGGCCAAUACAUCUCGUGGUAACAAGAAUGUAUUGUUCUGAGGUAUAUCAAGAUUAAGUCUCCGAUUCAUAUUUCGUCGACCAAUCCUUCCUAAUUCACAUUUUUGUUGAAAAAAUUUCUUUUGUAAUUCCUCGCAUAAGGACUCCGAAAAUACCAGGUCCCCACCUACACAAGCAAAUUGUUGAUAAAACUCCAAAAUAGCUUUUUCUUUUGACUCAAUCCUCUUCUUCUCCUUAGCAUUCGGGAAAGACAAGAAAAUUUCAGGGUAGGAAACAUUAUCUAGAAUUUCUCUUAGAUUCGAACCCAUAGCUGAUGAUAGAACUAGAAUAGAUAUCUUUUGUUUUCUACUCACGCGAGCCCAUAUCCUUUCUUUUUUAUCAAUUGCUAAUUCCGAUCUCCCUCCCCAAUCUGAUAUUAUAGUCCCGGUGUAGAUAGAAAUUCCCUUAUGAUCUAAUUCCGAGCGGUAGUAAAUACCAGGACUUAGCAAUAUUUGAUUGAUCACAAUUCGGUAUAUUCCAUUUAUAAUAAAGGUUCCUAAGGAAUUCAUUAUAGGAAUGUUUCCGAUAGAAAUGGUUUGCUUUUGCACAUCGAAACCAAAAAUUAAUCUCGCAGAUACAUAUAAUUCGGAAGAAUAGGUGAGUGAUUCAUACACAGCAUCUCUUUCUUUUAUCGAGGGUUCUAGCAAUUGAUAUCCUUUCGCAAAUAAUUGAAAUGCAAUUUCGUGAUCUGGAUCUUUAAUUGUUGGAAACUUGUCAAGUUCUUCUGCCAAGGCUUGAUUAAUGAACCUAAAAAAUCCCUCGAAUUGGAUCUGACUAAAUCCGGGUAUUGUGGACAUUCCCUCGUUUCCAUUCCGGAGCAUCUUAAUCUUAAGUUUCCUGUUUAUCAAAGAAAAAUUCCAUUAUCAGCUCACUCUUCAUCAAUCCCUACGGAUUGAUCUAGCAAUCAUGGAAUCUAUAUUCUGUUUACUGAAUCACAUGAAAUUCUAGGGAACUCCACAUACGUAUUUCAUAUAUGUAUUUCAUACAUAUGAAUAGAGACCAUUUCGACGAAAAUUCUAGUUUACCAGGGGUACAAAUGAAAUGAAAAUGAAUUGCUAAAAUAUUCCUACAAAAAAAAUUAUGCCACUUAUACUUUAUAAUAUUCUAAUCAGAUUGAAUGGCAAAGAUUUCUCAUUUUAUCCCCUUUCUAUGAAUGUAAUAAAGCCGUAAUAUAAUACACUAGAAAGUUUUACUUUACUUCGAUUUAGAAUAGCGUGCUUACUUUAAUUUCUAAAAAUAAUUUGAGGGUUCUUUUUUAUUUCGGAUCGGAGUAGUAUAAUUGCUAGAAAAUUAAGUAUUUCAUUGUGGAAUUCUAAAAUAAAGUAAGUCCCUUUUUUAAGUACAUGCCAAUCUAAUUAUCCACCUCUCCCCAUAUCCAUGCUUUUCUUUUAUCGUAAUUUCACUUGGGUAGGCCAAGAUAGUCAGGUUAUACUCUAAUAUCAGAGCAAAUUUCCUUUUUUUAUUCAAGAUAUUUAAUUUAAUACUUUGAAAAAUUAAAGCACGAUUCCCCAUAGAGAUAUGUACAUAAAGGGGAUCUUUGGAUAAUAAUGCUGCUCGGACCUAAAGUUCACCUAUACACGGAUUAAGCAUAAAGCCAUAAUAUUUUAUUAUGCCAUUGAAAUUGAAGGGGGGGAGAUAAUACCGAUUUAAGAGUAGUUCACUACUGCAAUUCAAAAAAGAAAGAGAAUUCUAGUUAAUGGUUCCAAUUUGUUCUGAAUUUUGCAGCCUGUGACUAGAAAUCCACUUUUCUUCUUUUUCAUCUCAAUAGAAAGAAAUGGGAAGUUUUAUUGUGUUAGCAAUGUAUGUUUUAAGAUAGAAUCUAUCGAGGAGAAUAAUCGAAACUGGAUCAAAAAAAGCAGGAGUAUCUUUUUUGAAAAAGAUUGGAAAAAAGUAAGUUUAAUUAUAUUCAAAAUAAAAGAAAGGGGCUUUUCGUAAGAAAACGUGGAUGAAUACUUGCUGUUUUCUAGAUUUUCGAUCGGAUUUUUUGGCGGCAUGGCCAAGCGGUAAGGCAGGGGACUGCAAAUCCUUUAUCCCCAGUUCAAAUCUGGGUGCCGCCUGAUCAAUAAAAUACUUAGGUUUUCUAGUACUGAUCGAAUUCAAUCAAUUUUUACUUCGCAUAAGUUCGGGCAAGAGAGUAACUAAGCCUGCCGAUACUGGGUUUAGAGAAACCAUACCAUAGUUCUAUCCUUAAACUAGGGUUAGGGUUUGUUUUGGCGGUAGUGGCCAAAAUGGUUAUCAAUAGGGGUGAGGUAGUGUUUCCUUAUUCUUUUAUUAUAUGAAUUUGAAUUGGUUCUUAAUUGAUUCGAUUUGAGAAUUUUUAAAUACGAGGAUAAGAUGUCAGAAAUCUUGGUAUCCAAAGAAAGGUCCCUAAGGGGCAUUCUUCUCUUUUUCAAUCUAAGAUUCCAGAAGGGACUCCACGAAAGAAUAUCAAGACUUCCUAAUUAUCAUACAUUUUUUUAUCGUACAUCUUAUGUGACCUACAUACACUAGAGUAACAAAAGGAAUAAAAAAUCUUCCUAUUCCCGCUUCUUCUAUUCAGGACAUCAUUCCCGUACUCUUUCUUUUUUAAGGUAAGGAAAAAAGGGCUUUAUAGUAUCGUAUUUUUAAUGCUCUCUAAUUCUACAAGAAUUCCUAUAAGAAUUUGUUAGGAGUAAAUUCCUUGAACUGAUUGAUCCAUGGCCUUAGGGCAGAAGCCCUUUUUGACUCUGUACCCUUGAUUCCACUAUGAUUAUUGAUCAAUAGUAGAAUAAUCCCUUCAUAGAAAUAGGAGACAUAAUUUAGAUGGAUAUAGUAAGUCUCGCUUGGGCUGCUUUAAUGGUAGUCUUUACAUUUUCUCUUUCACUAGUAGUAUGGGGAAGGAGUGGACUCUAGGGAUACGAUACUACUAAUUGAUUAAGUAAUCAAAUUGUUGUAUCAAUUCUUUUUUUAAUUGAUCGUUUUGCAUUAAUUAUUUUGUCAAACGUUAUUCUUUAAUCUUUUUCUUUAGUUUUGUUUCACUCCUGUAAGAAACUCUUGUAUUGUAAGAAAGAGCCAUUAUACCAAUUAAGAAUUUCUACUAGAAAUGACUAAUGGUUAAAAAAAGUUCUAUACAUAAGAAAAUUAGACUUUCUUCCACGGAACUAUUCACGGCAUAUCACACAUUUUCCAUUUGUUUUAUACUCUUUCUUUAUUCUUAGAAUAAUUUUUAUUCUCUUUUGAAGCAUCUCGCGGGAUAUUUAAGCAUGAAAGAUUCGCUGGUUUUUUCCUUUUACUUUUUACUAUAGUCUAUUCUUAUAUUAUUUUUCUUUCCUUCCAUGGAUUCUUUGGUCAAGAAUUGUCUUCGAUUUUUUUAUUUUGACCUGAUUGAAAUUAAGUGGAUGCAAUGAAAAAAGAAAUUGAAUUAGACUACUUAACUAUUUCAAUCUACUAAUCUAUUCUAUGUAGAUUCAAAGAUAAUAUAAUAGAAAGACUCUAAAGUGUCGUAGAAAAAACUAUAUGUAGUUCUUUCUACCACACUUUAAGAUUCCAACCAGAUCCUUUCAUUUAAGACUUGGAUUUUUUUUAUUUAAUCCCUUUUUCAUUUCUUCAAUGAUUAAUUGGAAUUCCACUUAAUUAUUUUGGCUGACUGUUUUUACAUAAAUAAUAAGUAAAAAAGAAGUAGGAAUUAGAAUGAACAGUGCAGUAGCAAUAAAUGCGAGAAUAUUGACUUCCAUAACCUCUUUAUUUUUUAUUUUCACAAUAACUCGGGAUGUAAUCCCAUGGAGAGGAAAAAGGGGUAUCUUGUAAAUUCAAGGGUAGGGCUUGCAUUCUGAUAAUACUGAAUCAAUUCAAUAUUAUGAAUAUCGGAUCUAUCAAAUCAAUUCAUGGAUGAGAGUUAUAUAGUAUAACAUAGGAAGAUCCUAUAUCCAUACUAAGACCAAAAUGGGUUUUUUGAUUGGAUUAGGAAUUCCCUCUUUUUUAAUCCUUUUUUUUCUACUUUUUCUUUUCUAUAUCUCUAACCCACGAGCUUUCUUAAUCUUAUACAAUUUCUCUUCCUUUUUCUUAUAGUUAUACAUACAAUUAUGUAUGUAUUAUAUGAGCAACUUUCUAUGGGUCACAUAGACAUCCAAAUAAGCAGUAGAAGUGAGAUGGGGAAAAGAGGUCUGAAAUAAAAAGGGAAUACAAUUUAUGUAUGGAUUCCGGUAAAAUACCGGUACUCUAUUCCAUAACAGUGGAAUAGGAAAUUAAGAUGAGGAUGGUAUCAUCAUAAAGAAAGAUAGAGUAAUAUCCUAAAAUUCUACUAAUCCACAUAUCGUAUGUGUGUCUUUCUUUAUCUUUAUCGAUCGGGAGUAGUGAAAAAAAUUCCUAUACUCCUUCCCUCCCUCUUUAAUGAGAGAUGCAAAAUAAAAAAGUGAAGUAAGGGUGCCCUAUGGGUAUUUGAUCUUGCUCCCUGCCCCUUUUUUUUCAUGGAAAAAGGAAAUAUGAAUUUCUCCAUUCAUUGAACCCUAGUUCGGGACUGACGGGGCUCGAACCCGCAGCUUCCGCCUUGACAGGGCGGUGCUCUGACCAAUUGAACUACAAUCCCCGCGGGGUGUAUGGCAUACCCAUUCUUAAAUAGAACCAUAAGAAGAUUCGAUUCGUCUGUCGUACUCUAAGAAAUAGACGAAUCAUAUACUACAUACCCACAUAUUAAUAUUAUAUUAUACGUGGGUAUAGUGAGAGUGACAUAACUAGUAUGUCGUGAUUUUUUAUCACUAAAAAUGGAUAAUAAUCCACCCUUCAACAAGAAAAACUCUUUUGUUUGUAAGAAAGGAAUGAGAGAGAUAUGGAUUAGAAAAAAAAAUCCCCUUUUUUAUUUCUCUUUUAUUUCUAUAGAUCAGACAUUUUAUUUUAUGGGAGAAAAACAAAAGGAUUUAGUUCAUAUUCACGAAGCCCUAGAUUUUUGGGCCGAGCUGGAUUUGAACCAGCGUAGACAUUGUCAACGAAUUUACAGUCCGUCCCCAUUAACCACUCGGGCAUCGACCCAGGAAGAAUUUAUUCUAGGGUUUUUGCUAAUCUAUGAUUAACCUCCUUUCAUAAUACUCCCUACCCCCAGGGGAAGUCGAAUCCCCGCUGCCUCCUUGAAAGAGAGAUGUCCUGAACCACUAGACGAUAGGGGCAUCACUAGACGAUAGGGCCAUAUACAACCGCUCGUGAUUAUACUAUAAUCAUAGUAUGAGCAGUUUUUUUGAAUUGUCAAUAUACUCGAAAAGUAUAACUAGAUCCAAAGCAAAGAGUUUUUCUAACUUUUCUGCUAUGUUUUCAUCUAGGAUUUUUUUAGUUGAUGGUUAGAUUAAUUCAUGGAUCAUCCUCUACCUUUUAGGGAAAUUCAUUUUAAAUGUAUAGAAUAAGAAUGGAUUACUAAAAGGGAUUCUAGAUUAGUUCAGUACAGGUAGUUAUUUUAUUGAUCUAAGAUAAGAUGAAAAAGAGUCCAAUUUUUUUUUUAUUUCCAUUCCGUGCUUCAUUUAGUGUUCAGACCAAAAAUGCAUUCAUCCCGCACUAAGUCAUAAAAUUCUCUAAAGAGAAAGCUUCAAAAACAAAGAAAAAAGCGAAUCAAUUUAGUAGAAAAGUACUCUAUCAGAUUCGAACCAAUGACUUACGUCUUAGCACGAGAUUACUCUACCACUAAUUUAAAAAGCCCUUUAUCGGAUUUGAACCGAUGACUUAUGCCUUACCAUGGCAUUACUCUACCACUGAGUUAAAAGGGCUUUUUAUUUAAUUCAAAAAUUUGCCACUUUGAUUUCCCAUUAUGGGUCUACUGCAUAAUGUACAUAUUAUAUAUAUAUAAUAUAUAGAGAUAUAGAGAGAGACAUUAUGUAUAGAUUGUAUAUGUAUUGAUAUCUUGAGAGCUCAAAAUAAAAUUAAGAAAAAAAAACAUACCCAACUCUUCUUGGUUCAUGGUUUUCCGUUUCCGAAGGCUAGUAAAAUAGGCGGAUUCUGGAACCCCAAGGAUUCAAUGGUAUAUGGAAAAUAUAAGAUUUCCAAUCCUAGCGGGAAAAGGCAGGGAACAGAUACCCAAUAGGAUAGGAUCCUUGGGAGGAACUUUUGGUAAUGGCCUUGAUCCUCUAUGCUAUUUUUUAUGUGUUCUUAGUUCUAUUGAACUUUUUUGAUUCUUUUAAACAAGAAUCUAAUAAACUAGCAUUGAGUCAGUGGAAAAAAGGAGAGAGAGGAAAGUGUUAAAUGGAGAGAGUCGACUAAUCAUAGACUUUUAGGAUCUUCUUUACAUCAGGUAAAUCUGUCAGCCCUGUCCGUUUUUUUCUUUAAGUUACGACUCUUUAAGUUACAACUCUUUGCUUCUUACUUCUAUCAAGCCAUAGGGAAAGUCUAUGAUGAAUUUGGAAAACUCAUCUCACUCUUACUCUAUGGCUCGGACUUAAUGGGGGAAGAAAACAUCUUCUAUAAUUUCUUUUUUGUUCAAUUCUGGACAAAAAAGAAAAGGAAAAAAGGAAUUUAUAGGGACAGUGUUACCCCCUAUAUCCCCUAGUUUAUAUUGUAGGAAUAAUAAAACAAUUUAGCAGUCUGGCACACUUACGUCCUCGCAAAGUAAAUAAUGAUUAUUGUAGUCGUAACCGUAGAAUAGGAUAGGAUCCUAAUCAAAAUAAAUACAUUUGGUUCAGGCGCUAUUAGCAGGGUAAGAAGAGAUUUAUUUUACAGACCAGAGGGAGAGGGGCUAUCUAAAUCCUAAAGUAAAGGCGCGCGAUCGAAGUAGAAGUACCAAUGGCUCAGUGUCAUGAACCUUCUCCAUCUGAUUCAAUAAGGGGGAAUUAGCCUCCUUGUCAAAUGGCUAUCCUUGACAAAGGGUACCAUUUAUACCAUAAUAUACAAUGUAGCGGGUAUAGUUUAGUGGUAAAAGUGUGAUUCGUUCUAUUAAUAACUGAAUUUGAAAUGAUAUACUUAAGGCAUCCUUAAGUUUUUUUUUAUAUUCCGAUGAAAACUUUAGUUCUUAUAAAGGAUUAAAUCCUUUUCCUCUCAAUAGCAUAUUGAGGAAGAAUAUACAUUCUGGCGAUUUGUACCCAAAAACUAAUUUAAAUUGCAUCCAAAAUAAAAAUUGGAUUAUGAUAUGAGUACAGAGUCGCGAAGCAUAAUUUUGCAUUGGAUUUAAGUAUUCCAAUUUUGAAAAUAUGAGUAAAGGAUCUAUGGAUGAAGAUACAAAAAAGUUGAUUUCCAAUCGUAACUAAAUCUUCUUUUGUUAAAGGAUAAGGAAGCCAAAUAGCUAAAAAACGAUAGUUUUGGUUUACUAGAACCAUCCGCAUAUUGUUUCAGCUCGGUGGAAACCCAAUUCUUUUCCUCAGGAUCUCUUGAAUGAAAUUAGGGAACGAAGUAAGUAGAUUAGAUGGAUUUAGAUAGAAUUUCUAUCUCCUACUCUAUAAGGAUCAUCUAGAAAGCAGAGAGCUUUGGUUCCAUUCAAAUAGAAAAGCUGACAUAGAUGUUAAGUGGUGAGAAUAUCCAUAAAGGAGCCGAAUGAAAUCAAAAUUUCAUGUUCGGUUUUGAAUUAGAGACGUUAAAAAUAAUCAACCAACGUCGACUAUAACCCCUAGCCUUCCAAGCUAACGAUGCGGGUUCGAUUCCCGCUACCCGCUCCAUUCUGUAUAAAAGGAGUAUUCUAUUUGUCUAGACAUGUUAAAGGCUUGUAUUCAAGCCUUUUUUGUCCACCAGUUUCUGGUACUACAGAGCGGAGUAGAGCAGUUUGGUAGCUCACGAGGCUCAUAACCUUGAGGUCACGGGUUCGAUUCCCGUCUCCGCACUUAGCAGUCUCUAUAAAAGGAGUAUUCUAUUUCUCUAGAUAUGGUAGAGGGGCGUAUCCAACCCUUUUUUAUUCAUUAGUUCCGGGCCCUAGAGGGCAAAAUUGAGCAAUUUGCGAAGCCACUUGCCUUCACAAAAAGAAGGCGCAAGGCUUCUCCCUACCUUGCAGAAAAUAAAAAUGAAAUGAAAGGGACAGUCUACCUCUCCCUUCCUUUUAAAAACAGUUUGCCCGUUGUUUGUCUCAGUUAAUACCCAAUUUUGGGGCUCUGUUGGCUAGUUCUAUUUCUGCCUCCGGAGCGCCCUCUUUUUUUGAGGGGGAUGCAAAGGAAGGGUAAAUAUAGUAAGGGAUACGGCACUAGACUAAUACUUAAUUAAUACUUAAUUUAAUAUAAGUAGUUAAACAAUUAACUAGACUAAACUUUUUAUCAUAGUACUUUGAUAAAUUAAGCGGGCGAGCGGCGGGAAUCGAACCCGUAUCUUCUCCUUGGCAAGGAGAUGUUUUACCAUUGAACUACGCUCGCUACGGUAUAUAUUUUAUAGCGUAUAUCCGCUUGGGUCGACCGUCUAUGUCUGGGUCGACCGUUUCAUUUCAUUUUCUAUUCUAUUAUAUUAGAUAUUAGAGUUUUCCUUUUUUUAUUAUCUGUCAAUGAAUAUUCUAAUGGGAAUUUCAUAAUACUGAAAGAGAAGAGCUAGCAAUUCGGAACGCAAAUUGCGUUUUAAUACGUCUCACUAUUCGAAUUUUUUAAAUGGCCUUUAUUAUUUCUUUUUUAUGGGGUUACUAAAUAUUAACCAAAUUUAAUUUAAGAAAUGAGAGAAUUCAGAAUAGCUACGAGAAAGACUAGUCCAAUCCAUAAUGAUGUACCGGAAAAUACAACAUUUUUAUUAUUUGACCAACCAUCAGGAGAAGCAAAUACAAGGGGUACACUAAUUACUAAGACUGAGGAAGUCGCAAUUAAUGCAAAAACAGCUAAUUGGAAAGCAAUAGUCAUAUUUCUAAUCCUCCAAGCUACCAUCAAAUAAAGUUGACUACAUAUUUGAUCCCUCACUUAACCAAAAUUGUAAAAAAAUACAAGAAGUAGGAGGGGUUUAAUCAUGAAUCCAUUGAUUCUUCUCUUUAAUUAAAAUUUAUUACUUAACCUCUUUUUUAUUUGGAUAUGGGGGUGAGAGGAGGUUAUUUAGUCUUUAUUUCACAAGCGGGUAUAGCGGAUCCUGUAUCCGUGUAUACAGUAUACAGAGAUAUAUCGAAAAGGAACUUGUAUCUGAUAUCUUUCUAGAGGUUAAUAAAUAUUUUUAUUUUUUAUAUGGCUAUGUUCUAUUUGUAGGAGUAAAAUAAGGAUUAGGCGGUGGAGAGAUGGCUGAGUGGUUGAUAGCUCCGGUCUUGAAAACCGGUAUAGUUCUAGGAACUAUCGAGGGUUCGAAUCCCUCUCUCUCCUUUUGCUUAUUGAAUACGUUUGUUUCUUUCAUUUUUUUUUAUUCUGUCCCUUAUCUUUCUUUCAUAAAAAGGAAUGAAUGGCUCGGCUAGAUAGAAUAACCGAGCCAGAACAGAAAAAAAGUAGAACAGGUAUAAAUAAGAAAAUCUUAGUUAAGAGGGUUCAUGUAAAGAACAGGUUCCAAAUCACGAUCGAUUCCCUUUUCAAAACCUGCUGCAGCAGCUCGGGCUCUUCCUGCAUGCCAUAAAUGGCCCACAAAAAAGAAGAAUCCUAGAACAAAAUGAGAAGUUGAUAACCAACUUCUAGGAGAGACAUAAUUAACUGCAUUGAUCUCGGUCGCUACGCCACCCACGGAAUUUAAAGAGCCUAAAGGAGCGUGGGUCAUAUAUUCUGCUGAGCGCCGUUCUUGCCAAGGUUGUAUGUCUUUUUUCAACCUACUCAAGUCCAAACCGUUGGGGCCCCUUAGAGGUUCUAACCAUGGAGCACGAAGGUCCCAAAAACGCAUAGUUUCCCCUCCAAAGAUAACCUCCCCAGUUGGGGAACGCAUUAGAUAUUUCCCUAAACCUGUGGGUCCUUGAGCGGAUCCCACAUUAGCUCCAAGACGCUGGUCUCUAACUAGAAAAGUAAAUGCUUGAGCUUGAGAAGCUUCUGGCCCGGUGGGUCCAUAAAACUCACUCGGAUAAGCUGUAUUAUUGAACCAUACAAAACAACAAGCGAUAAAACCAAAGACAGAUAAAGCAGCUAAACUAUAAGACAAGUAAGCUUCUCCAGACCAUACAAAUGCACGGCGAGCCCAUGCGAAGGGUUUGGUUAAAAUAUGCCAAAUUCCCCCAAAUACACAAAUAAAACCCAACCAUACAUGUCCACCAAUUAUAUCUUCUAAAUCAUCUACACUAACAAUCCACCCUUCUCCCCCAAAAGGAGAUUUUAGUAAAUAACCAAAUAUAACACUGGGACUAAGGGUCAAAUUGGUAAUUUUUCUUACAUCUCCCCCCCCAGGGGCCCAGGUAUCAUAUACACCGCCAAAAUAAAGAGCCUUGAGUACUAGAAGAAAAGCACCUAGACCUAACAAAAUUAAGUGAAUACCCAAAAUUGUAGUCAUUUUAUUUCUAUCUUUCCAGACAUAACCAAAGAAUGGAAAAGAUUCUUCAAGAGUCUCGGGUCCCAGAAGCGCGUGAUAAAUGCCACCGAAGCCUAAGACUGCGGAGGAAAUUAGGUGAAGUACGCCAGAUACAAAGUAUGGAAAAGUAUCUAGAACUUCCCCCCCUGGCCCUACUCCCCAACCUAGAGUAGCUAAGUGUGGAAGUAAAAUCAACCCUUGUUCAUACAUGGGCUUUUCUGGUACGAAAUGGGCCACUUCAAAUAGGUUCAUUGCUCCGGCCCAGAAUACGAUUAAUCCGGCAUGGGCUACGUGAGCUCCAAGUAGUUUACCGGACAAAUUGAUAAGUCUGGCAUUCCCAGCCCACCAAGCAAAGCCGGUGGUUUCUUGGUCACGACCAGCUAAAACGAAAGUUCCAUUAAAGAGCGUUUCCACGUGGUAGAACCUCCUCAGGGAAUAUAAGAUUUUCAUGAGGCUGAUCCUGAGCUGCCAUCCACGCACGAAUACCCUCGUUUAAAAGAAUAUUUUUGGUGUAGAAAGUCUCGAAUUCAGGAUCUUCCGCUGCACGGAUUUCCUGGGAAACAAAGUCAUAGGCACGUAAGUUCAGAGCCAAGCCAACUACGCCAAUAGCACUCAUCCAUAAACCGGUGACGGGUACAAAUAGCAUAAAGAAAUGUAACCAACGUUUAUUGGAAAAAGCAACACCAAAGAUUUGGGACCAAAAGCGGUUAGCAGUGACCAUUGAAUAAGUUUCUUCAGCUUGAGUUGGGUUAAAAGCACGGAAGGUAUUUGCACCAUCACCGUCCUCAAAUAGAGUGUUUUCUACGGUUGCUCCAUGAAUAGCGCAUAGCAGAGCCGCGCCUAAUACUCCGGCAACUCCCAUCAUAUGAAAUGGGUUCAACGUCCAAUUAUGAAAUCCUUGGAAGAAAAGGAUGAAUCGAAAUAUCGCUGCUACGCCAAAACUCGGCGCAAAGAACCAACCAGAUUGCCCCAGUGGAUAAAUAAGGAAUACCGAAACAAAAACAGCAAUUGGACCAGAGAAUGAGAUUGCAUUAUAAGGCCGCAAUUGAACAGACCGAGCAAGUUCAAAUUGGCGUAACAUGAAACCUAUUAGUGCAAAAGCCCCGUGGAGAGCUACAAAAGUCCAUAGACCGCCUAAUUGACACCAACGAGUAAAAUCUCCUUGUGCUUCUGGCCCCCAUAGUAGCAACAAAGAGUGUGCUAAACUAUUGGCAGGGGUAGAAACUGCUGCGGUUAAGAAAUUACAACCUUCCAAAUAGGAACUUGCCAAUCCAUGGGUAUACCAAGAAGUUACAAAAGUUGUCCCUGUAAACCAACCCCCUAAAGCGAAAUAAGCACAAGGAAAGAGCAAUAGGCCAGACCAUCCUACAAAAACGAAACGGUCCCUUCGUAACCAGUCAUCCAUAGUAUCAAAUAGAUCAUUUUCUUCUUUAGGAACUCUACCAAGGGCUAUAGUCAUAGUGAUCCUCCUAUUCAAUUACUUCAACCAUUUCCGAGCACCUCAUAUCACUUUCCAAGGCAUAUGAUAGUUUUAUAUCUGUGGACGAUUUCUUUCUCGUUCAAUGCCCUUUUUCAAUGGUCUCGAAGAGAGAAAUUUUCCAUUUUUAUCUAUGGAGUCACAACCGAGGUCGUUGUAAAUCCAUGAAUUUGAUUCGAUUUGUUUUUCUUAUCUUAUACUUAUAGAAAUAAACCUUUGAAUUCAGCAUUAUUCCAAGACUCCUAUUUCAAAGUCUAUCUUUUAAGGGAAAAAUGAAAAUAAAAGUAACCCCUUUUUUCCCAUUCCCUCUCUAUUGCAUGGGGGGAAGAACUAAAAUGGAGGAUUCUGAAAAAAAAAAGGACCUUCGAAAUCAAUUUUUAUGUGUAGCGCAAAGGAGUUGCGAUUUCUUCUUAUUCCUAUAGAACAUCUAGUAACAAGAAUAUGAAAUCGUAAAUAGCGAAAAAUUCUUGUCUUGCGCGGUCUAAGUCUAAGGAAAUACGAAAAAUUCGCUUAUACAAUUUCAUCUACAUCGAAUUUAUAUAUCAGAAUAGCGGAUAGAGGCAUCAUUCAAGGAGUCAGGUCUACUUACUUUAUGCUUCUUUCCAAUUUUAUGGUGGAUUUGAUAAGAACCCUUUUUGCUUUCUUGAUAAAUAAUCGACAAAAAAAAAAAAAGCGUUUUUUUAUAUAUAGCUUGUUUUAUUAUAAUUAUAACAAGUCCUAUAUGGAAAUGCCCGCUAAAGAGAAAAUCUAUUUGAUUGUCUCUCGGUCAAUAUCGAUUUUUACAAAGAAAAAACAAGAAUUUUCUUCUUUUUUUUAUUAACAUUAAGAAAAAAGAAUAUAACUAAAAUGGAAUUGGCAAUAUAAUUUUUAUAGACUUUUGAAAGAAAAAAAGGGGUUUUUUGCAACCGUUAUUUCUUAUUUCUUGCCUAUAUCAUAUCACGGAAACCUUUCGCUUUGGAACGUGGAGAGAUGGCUGAGUGGACUAAAGCGGCGGAUUGCUAAUCCGUUGUACAAUUUUUUUGUACCGAGGGUUCGAAUCCCUCUCUUUCCGCUCCCUUGGAUCAUUUGGGACUUUCAAACUGGAAAGAAUUCUGACCCCCGGAUUUUCUCAUAGAUAAAUGUACGAAACAAAUCCAAUUUGUAAGAAAAAAAAAAAAUUGAAUUUUUACUCCUCGCGUCCAGGAUUCCGUCCUGGAUCAUUAGAUAAGAAUCCAAAGAUAAAGAGUGAAACAAAGAAUAUCACUACUGUAUAAACAAAAAGUUUGAGAGUAAGCAUUACAUAAUCUCCAAGAUUUUUUUUUAAGGAAUAGAUUACCAGUUUUUCCUUACCACACGGAUCCACUAGGAUGGUUUUUUUUGAUACCUAAAAAUGCAAAAAUGAAUUCUGGAAAAAAAUUGCAAGAAUUCAUUUAUAAUAAGAACUCUUAUCAAUAGCAAAAAUAGGGUUAGGUGGUAUUGAAUAGGUAUUGUGUAGGUACCUAAAGGUACCUGCUCAACCUAGGUGCAGGGGAGUAGAAAGGCUGAUCCAAAUUUAUUGCUGUAGCUACCCAUUCAAUGUAGAAUAAUUUCAAUUUUAGAAUUGAGGGUUCAUAAUAUAAAAAUAUAAAACUUCUCGGCUUUUACCCAUUUUAAUUUUUUUUUUUGGAAUGAACACAUCAUUCAAUUUGGCAUACAGAGUACUAAAGAUUUCAUCGAAAACUUACAGCAGCUUGCCAAACAAAGGCUAAUAGAAAAAAGAAUAGAGGUAUAACAGGCAUAAUAUCCACGAUUGGAUUGAAAAUAGCAUAAGCUUCGGGCAAUUUGGCAAAGAAAAAACUAGUAGGAUAAAGAACAGAAUUAAAACAGAUACAGGUUAAACUAAGUAUAUUAGGCAUAACAAGCAUUUCAUUCUUGUAGAGUAAAUAAUUGGAUUUUGAUUGAGUUAUUUUUUUAAGGGAAAGAAGGAAAAGGCAGAUUCAAAAUCUUUUUUUCUUCGGACUUUCCCAAACACAAAAUACCUCCUUGUAUUCGCACUCUCAAAUGAGAGUGGAAUAAAUUCGACUUUCAUAUAAUAUCUUAAUAGAAUUCCAUGUAAUGAUCAAUGCAUUUUUUUGAUUCUAUAUUAUCUGCAUGUGUAGAAUACUAGCAAGAGAAUAUCUCUUCUUUAUUUAUGUAAUUGAAAUGGUAUUGACGAAUAACAAAUAAACAUAAUAGUGUUUAUUAGUGUCGCAUAAAACCCGAAAUGGGGCGUGGCCAAGUGGUAAGGCAGCGGGUUUUGGUCCCGUUACUCGGAGGUUCGAAUCCUUCCGUCCCAGAUUGUUUCUGAUGAAACAAACGGUGAAAUCAUAUAGUACUCCGUAUGAGACAAAAGUUUAUUAAAGAGAAUAAUGAUAUCUUAUGUUUUCUCAGAAAACAUAAUAAAGUCUUAAGUCCAGUCAAAUUGACUACCUUUAUUUUCAUGAAAAAAAUGGGAUCUAGCAGGCACAUUCAGGAUAUGCCUCUACUAUGAUCACUUAAUAAUCACUUAAUAAUCACUUAAUCAUAUUUUUUUCUUCCUUUUGGUCUUCGAGUCGAAGAAGUACCAAAAACAAUUAANNNNNNNNNNNNNNNNNNNNNNNNNNNNNNNNNNNNNNNNNNNNNNNNNNNNNNNNNNNNNNNNNNNNNNNNNNNNNNNNNNNNNNNNNNNNNNNNNNNNNNNNNNNNNNNNNNNNNNNNNNNNNNNNNNNNNNNNNNNNNNNNNNNNNNNNNNNNNNNNNNNNNNNNNNNNNNNNNNNNNNNNNNNNNNNNUUAAUUGUUUUUGGUACGGAAAAAAUAUAUUACUAAUAGAAUUCUAAUUCUAGUAAUUAAAUGAAUUAAACUUUUUUGGAGGUUGAUAGUUUAUUUAUUGAGGAAGAGUCAAUCCUUCUCUUCUCACUUCAAGAUUGAUCAUCUCGAGCCAUCCGUUGAGGGUGGAAAUUUAAUAAUAAAUAAGUUUUAAGCAAACUUGUUUAGUCGUCUUUUUCUAUGUUUCAUUCAUAUGAUAGAAUUCGAAUAUGGGUUUAAAUAAAUUGGAUCUUGGCGGAGGCUUCCCGGAUAAAUACUUACUUUCUUUUAUCCAUAUUGCUCCAUAGAUAGCAAGUUUUAAUUUUAAUUAGUAUACAAAAAACAAAACCAAUGACUAUUCAUGAUUCCAUCCAUAUUGGAUCAAUUUUCUAUACCACUUUGCAAUGAAAAGAGGAAUGUUUGUUAUGGUAAAACUUCGUUUAAAACGAUGUGGUAGAAAGCAACGUGCGACUUGAAGGACAUGAUCGAUUGUGGAUUUUGCUAUCCAUCAUUUUCCAUAGUAAUGAAAAUGCUCUUGGCUCGACAUAGCCUGUUCUAUUCGUUCCGAACCAAAUUUGCGCAGGGUUUAAGUAACAUAGUACACGAUGGAGCUCGAGAGGACAGAGUUUAUUUUUUAUCAAGGGAAAGAAUCUAGGGUUAGUGAAAACUAAUAAAUUAGGCCAACUUUGUCAGUCUAUCCUUAAUAUAGAAAUAAAUCGAAAGGUUAAAAUACGAAGAAAGUCCAAUAAAAGUAUAUCAGAAUCAAUCCCCCUUAUUAGAUUUCUAUAGAAGAGAUAAAUGCUUUAUCGAAGGAAAUAAGAAAAAAGGGUAUGUUGCUACUCUUUUGAAAGAAAAAAAUAGGAAUUCCCGAAGUAAUGUCUAAACCCAAGGAUUUCACAAAUCAAAGAUAAAGGAUUCCAGAACAAGUAAACACAAUUUUCAAUUGUCUCAACAACAGAGUUGGAUCAGAAUAAGGAAUAAAAGUCAAUUCGUUCGAAAUGAGACAAAGAAAAGAGUUUAAAGACGACUCAAAAAUUUUUGAAGGAUUUUGCCUUCGAAGUUUCUCAGGCAGAAUUAGCCAACUUGAGUCAUGAGUAUAAAUGAAAUUUGUUUUUUCUGUAAGGAAAUUAAUGGACGUCAUAGUCUAAUUUCUAUUAUUAUCGACAGAAAUUCGAAUCAUUUUCUCGAGCCGUAUGAGGAGAAAACCUCCUAUACGUUUCUAGGGGGGGCGUUGUUUAUCUACAUCUAUCCCAAUAAGCUGUCUAUCGAAUCGUUGCAAUUGAUGUUCGAUCUCGAAGAGAAGGAAGAGAUCUUCGAAAAGUAGGUUUUUAUGAUCCGAUAAAGAAUCAAACUUGUUUAAAUGUUCCAGCUAUUCUCUAUUUCCUUGAAAAGGGUGCUCAACCGACAAGAACUGUUUAUGAUAUUUUAAGGAAGGCGGAAUUCUUUAAAGAAAAAGAAAGAACUUUGAGUUAAUUGAAGAACUAAAUGAAUAAAAAAGUAGGAUAGGAGAAGAUUAUUAGUAUUCCUCGUUGUCUAAUUAUUUAGACACAAUUUACCUCUUUCUUAAUCCUAUUUGGAUUUAUAUCGUGCCAAUCCAACAUAAGCCCCUAUUUUAUUUACUUUUUCUAUCUAAUUUGUUUUCUUACCAUUGUAUUUCCAUUGACAAAGGUCUAUUGAACAAAUAGAAUUUGUAGAUAGAUGGGUCUCUUUAUCCUCACUCCAUAUUUAAUUUUUCUGCUUACACUUCGCUCAAAUGAUAAGGGUGUUCCUCUUGCAUGUAUUCUCAUACAAUAUAAUAUAUAUUUUUUUUAAUAAAAAUCGCUAAAAAAAGGAGAAUUUGGCCAUCGUGAUUAGGGUCGCUCUUUUUUUUCACUUUAGUGGAAUUUAACCGGACCUGUUCGUUUUGCCAUUUGAGUGUUUUUCAUGGUCGAUAAAAUCUUUCUUUUGAUGUCUUGCUAGUUCAAUGUUUUGACAGAAGCGCGCGGUGUAAUUCCAUUGAUUUUUGGAUUUCGAUCGUAUCUAAGAUCCUUUUUUUAUCUGGGUUGCUAACUCAAUGGUAGAGUACUCGGCUUUUAAGUGCGACUAUGAUCUUUUACACAUUUGGAUGAAACAACAAAUUCGUCCAGACUCUUGGUAGAGUCUAGAAGACCACGACUGAUCCUCAAAGGUAAUGAAUGGAAAAAAUAGCAUGUCGUAAUAAAAUCAAUCUUUUUUGAAUGGAAUCCAAAAUUACGAUUUUCUGGGUCUAGUGAAUAAAUGGAUAGAGCCUGGCUCCAAUUCUGGUAAAAUAAAAAGCAACGAGCUUAACUUCCUAAUUGGAAGGAUUCCCCGCUCUAAUUAGACGUUAAAAAUAGAUUAGUGCCGGAUGUGGGGAAAGGUUGGGUUUUCCUAUGAGUGGACCCUUUAUUUUUUCUUUUUUUUUAGAAAUCCUAAUUAUUCUUGAUUAUGGAUUGAAUAAGGGAUGUUAUGGAUUGAAUGUGUAAAAGAAGCAGUAUAUUGAUAAAGAGGCUGUAUUCCAAAGUCAAAAGAGCGAUUGGCCUGCAAAAAUAAAAAACUUGUUCUGUUCUUUUUUGUAAUUUAGAACAAACAUAAACUAAUUCGGUAGAAAAGGAGCGGAAAAAGAUCCGUGGAUUAGACUCCCUUUCUUUCCAGGGUUUGUAUUAAAAAUGCAACACCCUGUUCUGACCAUAUUGCACUAUGUAUCAUCAUUCGAUAAACCGAGAAAUGCUUCUUCUCUCUGAUUCAAGUAGAAAUACAAAUGGAAAAAUUCGAAGGGUAUUCAGAAAAACAGAAAUCUCGUCAACAAUACUUUGUCUACCCACUUCUCUUUCAGGAGUAUAUUUAUGCAUUUGCUCAUGAUUAUGGAUUAAACGGUUCUGAACCUGUGGAAAUAGUUAGUUGGAAUAACAAGAAAUUUAGUUCACUACUUGUGAAACGUUUAAUUAUUCGAAUGUAUCAGCAGAAUUUUUUGGAUAACUCGGUUAAUCAUCCUAAUCAAGAUCGAUUAUUGGAUUACAAAAUUUUUUUUUAUUCUGAGUUUUAUUCUCAGAUUCUAUCUGAGGGGUUUGCGAUUGUUGUGGAAAUCCCAUUCUCGCUACGGGAAUUAUCUUGUCCGAAAGAAAAAGAAAUACCAAAGUUUCAGAAUUUACGCUCUAUUCAUUCAAUAUUUCCCUUUUUAGAAGACAAAUUUUUGCAUUUGGAUUAUCUAUCACAUAUAGAAAUACCCUAUCCUAUCCAUUUGGAAAUCUUGGUUCAACUCCUUCAAUACCGUAUCCAAGAUGUUCCAUCUUUGCAUUUAUUGCGAUUCUUUCUCAACUACUAUUCGAAUUGGAAUAGUUUUAUUACUUCAAUGAAAUCCAUUCUUUUUUUUCAAAAAGAAAAUAAAAGACUAGUUAAAUUCCUAUAUAACUCUUAUGUAUCAGAAUAUGAAUUUUUCUUGUUGUUUCUUCGUAAACAAUCUUCUUGCUUACCAUUAGCAUAUUCUGGAACUUUUCUGGAACGAAUCCACUUUUCUAGGAAGAUGGAACAUUUUGGGAUAAUGUACCCUGGUUUUUCUCGGAAAACCUUAUGGUUCUUUAUGGAUCCUCUUAUACAUUAUGUUCGAUAUCAAGGAAAGGCAAUUCUUGCAUCAAAAGGCAGUUUUUUUUUGAAAAAGAAAUGGAAAUGCUACCUUAUCAAUUUCUGGCAAUAUUAUUUCUUUUUUUGGACUCAGCCGCGAAGAAUCCAUAUAAACCAAUUAGCAAACUCUUGCUUCGAUUUUAUGGGAUACCUUUCAAGUGUACCAAAAAGUCCUUUGUUGGUAAGGAAUCAAAUGCUGGAGAAUUCAUUUCUCAUAGAUACUCGAAUGAAAAAAUUCGAUACCAUAGUCCCCGCUACUCUCCUCAUAGGAUACUUAUCAAAAGCUCAAUUUUGUACUGGAUCGGGGCAUCCUAUUAGUAAACCCAUUUGGACGGAUUUAUCAGAUUGGGAUAUUCUUGAUCGAUUUGGUCGGAUAUGUAGAAAUCUUUUUCAUUAUCAUAGUGGAUCUUCGAAAAAACGGACUUUGUAUCGACUAAAGUAUAUACUUCGACUUUCAUGCGCUAGAACUUUAGCUCGUAAACAUAAAAGCACGGUACGAACUUUUAUGCAACGAUUGGGUUCGGCAUUUUUAGAAGAAUUUUUUACGGAAGAAGAGCAAGUUUUUUCUUUGAUGUUCACCAAAACAACUCUUUUUUCUUUCAGUGGAUCACACACUGAGCGUAUUUGGUAUUUGGAUAUUAUAGGUAUCAAUGACCUGGUCAACCCUCUUAAUUAAUCAUUAGACAAAACUAAUAAACAGGAAAGGGUUGAUAAAUGAUCAAGAAAAAACUUUCAUAUUUUUCAUUCUGAAAUGUUCCUUUUAUUAUAAUAAAGAGUAGGUGAAUCAACUUACUAAUUAAAAAAUUAGUAGAACUUCCUCUUUGGAAUAGAAUAUUGGCUAUUUCUACAUAGGGAAAGUCGUGUGCAAUGAAAAAUGCAAGCACGAUUUGGGGAGGGAUUUUUCUCUAUUGUAACAAGGAAGAAUUAUCUACUCCAUCCGACUAGUUCCGGGUUCGAGUCCCGGGCAACCCAUAUAGAAAAGACCCAUCAAAGUUUUUAACUUUUACUCACUUCAUUUACAAAUACAAAAUUAUUGGUUUGGUUAAUUUAUUUAUAUGGAUAGCCAAUCUUUGGGCUGACUUGGUUGACAUUGGUAUAUAGUCUAUGUUAUACUGUUAAAUAACAAGCCUUCUAUUAUCUAUAUUCUAGUUAAUACGUGUGCUUGGGAGUCCUUGCAAUUUGAAUAAACCAAGAUCUUACCAUGACUGCAAUUUUAGAGAGACGCGAAAGUACAAGCCUGUGGGGUCGCUUCUGCAACUGGAUAACUAGCACUGAAAAUCGUCUUUACAUCGGAUGGUUCGGUGUUUUGAUGAUCCCUACCUUAUUGACCGCAACUUCUGUAUUUAUUAUCGCCUUCAUCGCUGCCCCUCCAGUAGAUAUUGAUGGUAUUCGCGAGCCUGUUUCUGGUUCUUUACUUUAUGGAAACAAUAUUAUCUCUGGUGCUAUUAUUCCUACUUCUGCGGCGAUCGGAUUGCACUUUUACCCAAUUUGGGAAGCUGCAUCUGUUGAUGAGUGGUUAUACAAUGGUGGUCCUUAUGAGCUAAUUGUUCUACACUUCUUACUUGGUGUAGCUUGUUAUAUGGGUCGUGAGUGGGAACUUAGUUUCCGUCUGGGUAUGCGUCCUUGGAUUGCUGUUGCAUAUUCAGCUCCUGUUGCAGCUGCUACUGCUGUUUUCUUGAUUUACCCUAUUGGUCAAGGAAGCUUUUCUGAUGGUAUGCCUUUAGGAAUCUCUGGUACUUUCAACUUUAUGAUUGUAUUCCAGGCAGAGCACAACAUCCUUAUGCAUCCAUUCCACAUGUUAGGUGUAGCUGGUGUAUUCGGCGGUUCCCUAUUCAGUGCUAUGCAUGGUUCCUUGGUAACCUCUAGUUUGAUCAGGGAAACUACUGAAAAUGAAUCUGCUAAUGAGGGUUACAAAUUUGGUCAAGAGGAAGAGACUUAUAAUAUUGUGGCUGCUCAUGGUUAUUUUGGCCGAUUAAUCUUCCAAUAUGCUAGUUUCAACAACUCUCGUUCUUUACACUUCUUCUUGGCUGCUUGGCCUGUAGUAGGAAUCUGGUUCACUGCUUUAGGUAUUAGUACUAUGGCUUUCAACCUAAAUGGUUUCAAUUUCAACCAAUCUGUAGUUGAUAGUCAAGGUCGCGUUAUUAAUACUUGGGCUGAUAUCAUCAACCGUGCUAACCUUGGUAUGGAAGUAAUGCACGAACGUAAUGCUCACAACUUCCCUCUAGACUUAGCUGCUGUUGAAGUUCCAGCUAUUAAUGGAUAAGGUUUUUCUGCUAACAUAUAAGAAUUUUUGAAGAAAGAAAAGACAAAAAUACCCAAUAUCUUNNNNNNNNNNNNNNNNNNNNNNNNNNNNNNNNNNNNNNNNNNNNNNNNNNNNNNNNNNNNNNNNNNNNNNNNNNNNNNNNNNNNNNNNNNNNNNNNNNNNNNNNNNNNNNNNNNNNNNNNNNNNNNNNNNNNNNNNNNNNNNNNNNNNNNNNNNNAAGAUAUUGGGUAUUUUGAAUCUUUUUUUUCUUCUUAAUCUUUCUAUUCAGAAUUCAGUUAACGACGAGAUUUAGUAUCCUUUCUUGCAUUUUCAUAACUCGUAAAAUGCCGAGUAGGCACGAAUUCUCCCAAUUUGCGACCUACCAUAGGAUUUGUUAUGUAAAUAGGUAUAUGUUCCUUUCCAUUAUGAAUCGCAAUUGUAUGGCCAACCAUUGUGGGUAGAAUGCUAGAUGCCCGGGACCACGUUACUAUUGUUUCUUUCUCCUCCUUCAUAUUGACCUUUUCUAUCUUUGCCAAUAAAUGAUGAGCUACAAAAGGAUUCGUUUUUUUUCGUGUCACAGCUGAUUACUCCUUUUUUCCUUUUUAAAGAGUGGCAUUCUAUGUCCAAUAUCUCGAUCGAAGUACGGAGGUCAGAAUAAAUAGAAUAAUGAUCAACGGAAAAAAGAAAAAAAUCCUUUAGCUGGAUAAGGGGCGGAUGUAGCCAAGUGGAUCAAGGCAGUGGAUUGUGAAUCCACCAUGCGCGGGUUCAAUUCCCGUCGUUCGCCCAUCGCAUUAUUGCAAAUUCCAAAAAUGCAAUUUUCCAUAUUCCUAGUUACGUAUUUACUUACGGCGACGAAGAAUAAAACUAUCGCUAUAUUUUUUCCUUUUCCUAGUUCUUCUUCCAAGCGCAGGAUAACCCCAAGGGGUUGUGGGUUUUUUUCUACCAAUGGGAGCUUUCCCUUCACCGCCCCCAUGGGGGUGGUCCACAGGGUUCAUAACUACCCCUCUUACUACGGGGCGUUUACCUAGCCAACACUUAGAUCCGGCUCUACCCAAACUUUUUUGGUUCACCCCAACAUUACCCACUUGUCCGACUGUUGCUAAGCAAUUUUGGGAUACUAAACGGACCUCCCCAGAUGGUAAUCUUAAAGUGGCCGAUUUACCCUCUUUUGCAAUGAGUUUCGCUACAGCACCUGCUGCUCUAGCUAAUUGCCCACCCCUUCCACGUGUGAUUUCUAUGUUAUGCAUGGCCGUGCCUAAGGGCAUAUCGGUUGAAGUAGAUUCUUCUUUUCUCUCAAAAAACCCCUUCCCAAACUGUACAAGCUUCUUCCAAAGCAUACGGCUUUCUAGAUGUAUAUGACGAUCUCUAGACAGAUGGAUCUUAUAUGAAUCAUAUGAUGAAGUACCACAUGAGUGGAUAUAUAGGAAAGGAAUCCAAAUCUGCCGAAUCGCUCAUGUUAUGAUCUUCUACAUCCUAGGUCUCUGCGUUCCGUCAUCUGGCUUAUGUUCUUCAUGUAGCAUUCAGAUCGAAUGACUCUAUGAAAUUACGUCGAUACUUCCACAUAUUAUGGGUAACGUAGGAGACAUCCCUAUUUUCCCCCGGGGGUCUUAAUUACCACUGCUUAGCUUUCAAUUUGCCUCUGACCAUCAAAUUAAAUGUGAAUAACCCGUCCUCCUCUCUUUGAAACAAGGGGCGCUUCCGGUUCUGUGCGUGCUUCAAACAAUUUUGUCUUCUCCAUAUUACCAUAUCUCUAGAGUCAAUAAUUUUCUAUGAGGAACUACUGAACUCAAUCACUUGCUGCCGUUACUCAACAGUUUUCUGUUGAGGUCUAUCCCGUAGAGGUAGUCAAAUUGGAUCAGUGAUCGAUUUCUAGGUUUCGUCGUAAACCUAAUUGGUUACUUCCAAUUACGUAAAUCAAUAGUUCAAACCGCACUCAAAGGUAGGGCAUUUCCCAUUGAUAUAGGAACUUUUGUACCAGAAACAAUAGUAUCUCCAAUUAUAGCCCCUCUGGGAUGUAAAAUAUAUCUCUUCUCACCAUCCCCAUAGUGUAUGAGACAAAUGUAUGCAUUUCGAUUAGGGUCGUAUUCUAUGGUUACGAUUCUACCAGAUAUGUCUUUUUGAUUCCGUCGAAAAUCUAUUUUACGGUAUAGGCGCUUAUGACCUCCCCCUCUAUGCCUUGCGGUAAUGAUUCCUCUGGAAUUACGACCUUUACCACAACGGUGCCGUCCAUGGAUCAAAUUAUUUCGUGGAUUGGAUUUCACUUGCCUGUCUACGGUUCCCUUGCGUGUGCUCGGGAUAGGUGUUUUGUAUAAAUGUUUCGCCGUAUUAUUAAGUAUUCUCCUUUAGUUUUUUUCUCUAUCUAGAAGUGGAAUAGAAUAACCCGGUUGAAGGGUAAUGAUCAUACGUCUGUAAUGCAUUGUAUGGCCCAGAAUAGGUCCUAUUCUUCUACCUUUUCCAGGUAGUCGAUGGCUAUUCACAGCUACCACCUUAACACCAAAGAAGAGUUCGACCCAAUGCUUUAUUUCUGUCUUAGUGAAUCCCGAUUCGACAUUAAAAGUAUAUUGAUUCUUUCCCAAUAAACGAAGACUUUUUUCUGUAAAUACUGCGUAUUUGAUUCCAUCCAUAAAUCGACUUUCCCUCCUAUGCUCUGAGUUCCAGUAUCGAUAAGAAUUCGAGUUCUUAUUGUUCUUAUGUUAUGGUAUGAAUAUACCAUACCAAUUCGUUAUGUAUGGAUGAUGGAUGAGAUUCCAUGGAUAGAGAGCCAGUUCCAAUAGACUUAUGGAAUGUUCCCGUUCGUGUGCAUCCAGCAGGAAUUGAACCCGCAAAUUUACCAAUUAUGAGUUGGGCGCUUUAACCAUUCAGCCAUGGAUGCUUAACAGGGAUCAUCGUACAUCGUAAAUAACCAAUUUUCAUAUAGAAAGACAUAUCAUAGAAAAAUGAAAUCGAAAAUAUUCCGAGAUGGCAAAUAUUCGGAGAUGACUAUGAAAACACCUCUCUGGAUCCUCGAAUUGAAAGAGAGAUUGAGAGGGAUCAAGAAUCCUAAUUCUCGCUAUUUGGAAUGGAUCCAAUUCUAUUGAGUCUGACUCAUAGUGAUCAUUUCUCUUUAG
rnacentral:lncRNA from 1 species